CCGGAGCGGCGCAGCGUAAAUAAAUCCGGAUUCACACUGGAGAGGUUUUCAGCCUGGAAUACAGGGCCUGUGUGCGCUCCUGCGAGUGAAACCGGGGUCCGACGGGCAGCCAGGAAUAUACCACAGCAGGCAGCAGCCAUUAGCUUCCCAAGGCCAGCUGCUUGGUGUUCGCGUACAGGACUGGAGGCAGAACGCGCAGCGUCAGCAGAGCACAAUCCCUGCGGAGCCGCUCCGGCAGUCGGCGAGGCGCCCGCAGCCCGCUGCCGUCGGGCGGACGGGAGAACCCCGGGCUCUGGGGGAGCUGAGCGGUGCUGCAGUGACCUCCAGCGUUCCCAGCGCGGGCUGCAAGCGCAGAGCGGCUCUCAGCUCCUCAGUGCCAGGCCUUGCCCCGCAGCAGCGCCCAAAGGGCUUAGGGACACGGUCAGAGCGCUGCAGGAAUAAGAGUAUUUUAAAAUGAAUUUAACUCCCAAAGCAAUCUCAGAAGUCUUAUUUCUUAUUCACUUAGAAGUAGC
rnacentral:lncRNA from 12 species